UCCCGGGCCCGGCACACGCUCGGUACCCAGUAAAGAGCUGGCACCGUCGGGGCUGGCCGGGGACCCGCUGACCUGUUUGCUGGGCUCCAAGGAGCCGGUGGAGAGCCCGGGGCCAGCUGCCCCUGCCUGGGCUCCUUUGCGUGCCUGUGCGGUGCGGGAGGCUCCGCGGCUUGGCACCAGAAGGGCAGUGCUUUUCCAAAGGCUGUUGUUUCCAAGCCUGUGUUUCUUGGGAAAACAAGGUGGGAGCUGGGCAGAGGCAUGGGACACAGCCUGGCUUCUGCCUUCAGUGCCUGCUGCCAUGGGCACCUCCUCGGCUGCGUUUCCAUCAGCUCCAAGCCUUGAUCUCACUGAGCUUGUGCUCCUUCACAUCUGCCCCUUGCUUCUUUCCGUGUUCUUCUUUUAGUCGAAGAGGUUUCAGCUGCAGCAGGAGCACAGCAGAAACCCACAAAGGUGCUUCCCUAAAGCUAAGCCUUCUGCAGCCUUGGCCUUGCCCGGGCAUGCCAGCUUCCACUGUGGUGAGCCAGCCACCAGCCCGAGCUCAGUCCCUCGCUGCUGCAGAGCUGGACCUCGAGAGUCACUGCGAGAUGCCUCAGCAGCCACAGGGCUAAUGACCCAAAUAAGAGAGAACAUCCCAAUAAGAACAUCCAAACGCUGCUGGAAAAUAACUCCGUGUGCAGCUGAGCCCCGAUCUGUGCAAUCCGAGCUGUGCUCAGCAGGAUCUCCAGGGGGUUUUAGUUGGGCUCCGACCAAGGUGCAGCAGACAGGUGCCCUUUUCUAUGGAGAGCAGGGUUCAGGGCUCGUCCUCCCUGGCUCUCACUGCUAUCAAACACUUGCCUAACGAGGAUUGUUCGAUCAGCUAAUGUCUGUAGGGUGACGGCAGGAAUGCAGAUUUCCUCUGCUCGGCCAGGGCUUGCUGCAACUCUGCGGAGCAAUUAGAGGUGACUCACUGGGGCAGGUGGACUUGGCCAGGAUCCCAAGAGGGCUGGCACUGUCCCUGUGAUGCCAGGCACAAGGCUGGCUGAUGAUGCCAGGAGAGGGGGUCUUUAUCUGCACCUGAUGAUUUUGUUUUGCUCUAAGUGGAUGAAGCACGGAAGGUGUUUUUCCUUUGGAGGGGUUGCAAGGCAACAUCUCGUUAUGUGAAGGAUUCAAAGGGAAAAGUGCUGUUGUUAAUUGGCAAAAAUACUUAAACUUCCCACCUGGAGCUGGUUGAGUUUGCUGGUGAAGUUGUCUGCAGCUCAGCCAACCUCCUGCAUGGGUGCUCCUGGCUGUUGGUGAACCUCAGCACUGAAGAAUGCUUCUCCAGGGAGUGAAGGUCAGGACCUGGUUAACGCUCAGAAGGUGCUUCCUAGGUGUGGAUUUACUACCUCAGAAGGAGUAGUUAAAGCACCAGAACUUCUCAACCUUUCAGAAACAGGCAACAAGAAGACAAAGUGAGCAGAAAAGACUCAAACGGCAGCCUGGGACUGCAUAUGUCUGCCCCCCGCAAGGAACGUUGGAAGUGCUUGAAAGGAGGUAGGAGAAGCUGGCAUGAAAUGGCAUAUUUGGAGCCAGUUCAGAGGAGGGUAGACACUGUCUUGGACUCUAAACCAGCAAGCAGGUGCUGUGCAGUGACUACCUACCUGCCUUCCUGCCUCUGCUGUCUGUCCCCUCUGACCGCCUGCGUUUUCUGUGUCAGGUUUCGUGCAGUUUUAUUCCUGUCAAGUGUCCAACAUAGCUGCUGAAGAGCCAGCUGGAGCCCGCUCUCUCCCAUGUUUCAUCAACAAAAUUGCCAGCUUGUUCUGAUUCAGUAUCUUUAUUGUUGUUGAUGAGGCUAAAUGAUUCAGAAAGAACACAGCUAUGUAUACAAAAUACAAAUUCGGAAACCUCAUCCCCCUGCAAGGAAAUCUUAUUAGCUGUUGAAGUGGAGAGAUCUGCUGUGGAAGCAGAUUGACAGCAAAUAGAAGCCUCUUGAGAGGUAAUUUCUCCUGACCCCUACACAUUUGAUUGUUUUUAUCUGGCACUGAGUCUUCUAGCAGGAAAAGAGUUUUAGAUCAGAUUAAAACCAGGCUAAUUUACUCUGGGAUUGUGACUCUUUAAGGACUCUCAAUCCAAAAUCCUCUUAAUGAGCAAACAUGUCUCUAGGUAAAAAUCGAUGUUAAAAAACCCAAAACAAACCCCUUGGAGCUAUUGUCAAGACAGAAGUUUCAAUUAAUGCCAUCCUACUCCCCUCUUUUUUUCCCUCCCUUUCACAUAUUGUCAGUUUUUCACGGGGAAGAAAAGCUUAGUUCCUAAGAGGUUUCGUUGUGGGUUUUUUUUAACUAACUAAAUUCAAAUUUCCUUAAAUGCUUUUAUUAAAGGCACCACCUAUGGCUGCUGGCACUGCACGGCAGAAAAAGCUGUUGUAGUUUCACCGUGGCAUGUGGGAACUGCAGGCUGUCAGGCACCGGCUCCUAACACUCCCGGUGUCAGCUUGCAUCUCCUCACCAACUUCUGCUAACUUAGUUUCCAGGGUGCUAAAUUUUGUGCUUCCAAACGCAUUAGCUCGUUGUCAAAGGGCACUUUGUUACUUCUGGCACGCUUACACUCGGGAAGCGUUUGGGAGUGAUGGCUCUCGACGCCUGAAUCCAGGGAAAAAAGCUUACGGGGAAUGUUCUCCCGCGAGGAGGAGAAACGCCAGGCUGCGGCAGGGCAGGAGCCCGCACGGUGACACUAACGGCCGCGGGCACUGCCCGGGCACGUCUGAGCCUGCCCAGGCCAAGGCACAGUGGCUGAGUCACGGUGGGGUUCACAAGAGAAAACGAUCAAGCGCCGUGUCACCGCUUCUUGCU